ACGCGUUGCUGUGGCAAGGUAUAGUGGUAUGGGAAAUAGAGUAUUGAGGAAUUGGUGGUAGUUAAGGUAAAGGGUCCCCUGGGCUGAGUGGGUUGCUAGGAGACCAAGUGGACAAGUGCAAAUUAGAUAAUCUGUGGAUGAGGCCUAAGUGAGGCCUAAGUCUGCCUGUCCCCUAACUGAACCCUGGCUGUCCCUUGGCUGAGUAGGUUGCUAGGAGACCAAAUGGGCAGAGAUUAGCCCUCUAAACUGGCAUGCAAUUGGAUAAAUACAAUUAUUCCUCUCCCUCUAAUUAGGACUUUAUUUUUCUUUUCUUUUUGUUGUAUCAACCUAGAGGCAUGGAUGAGGGCUUGUGAUGUCAUUUUUCGAGGUUGUGGAGUGUUUACUUUUGUUGUUGUGUCCGCUGCUGUGAUGCCAUCAUUCUUUUAUAUAUAUAGAUUAUCACUAUCAUUCAGGGGCUGGAUGGCUAUCUGUUGGGAGGGCUUAGGUGGCGUCCUGCCUGGCUGAAGGGAGUCGAACUGGAUGGUCCUGAGGGCAUCUCUUCCAAGUGUAGGAUCCUUUGGUUCUAUUAUUGUUGUUGUUGUUGUUGUUGUUGUUGCUAUUGGGCUGGAUGGCCAACUGCUGGGAGGGUUCGGAUGGUGUCCUUCUGCCUGACAGAAUGUGCCCUGAGGUUCCUUCCAACUAUAGGAUUCUAUGGUUC
rnacentral:lncRNA from 11 species